rnacentral:rRNA from 1 species
UACGGGGGGAGCAAGCGUUGUUCGGAUUUACUGGGCGUAAAGGGCGCGUAGGCGGCGCAACAAGUCACUUGUGAAAUCUCCGGGCUUAACCCGGAGCGGUCAAGUGAUACUGUCGUGCUAGAGUGCGGAAGGGGCUACUGGAAUUCUCGGUGUAGCGGUGAAAUGCGUAGAUAUCAGGAGGAACACCAAUUGCGAAGGCAGCUCGCUGGGACGUUACUGACGCUGGAGGUGACGGAAAGCGUGGGGAGCAAACAGG